AAGGAGCAUAUGAUUUCCUUGUUGUGAUACUGAACUGUGUGGAAGACUUGAAAAUGGAUCCCCAAAAGGAUUUAAAGGACUCAUUUGAUGCGUUUGUGAUUGAGGAUGUUGAGGUUGAUACAGUUGUUGCUGUUGAUGUUGUAGCAUCAUCUGUUGUUGCUGUUGUAACAUCAUUUGUUGUUGUUGUUGUUGAGUCAUUGCCAUUUGCACAUUUGGUGGAGGUGGUACAUUACUUGACAUUGCAAAUGGGUCAUGUUGUUCAAAUGGAUUAUUUUGCAUAGUCAUCAUCCCUCCAUAUCCAUAACCUGCAUUUUGUAAUUCUAGUUGUCUCCUCGCAGAAUCAUCUUCAUAUAAGCUAUCUAGUAAUAGCCUAUCAAAUCCACCAGCCUGAUUCAUUUUUUUUAAAAAACAUCAUUAAAAUAUUGUUUUCAAUAAUUAAAACUCUUGUAAUUAAUAAACUUUGCAAAUUAACUUUAAAUUAGGAAUUAAUAUUAAGAUUAGUGGAAUUUUAUUAAUGUAUCAUAUAUACAUUAGGUUAAUUACAAUAUGCUCUUAGAAAUUCACCUUAAUUUAUAUAUUCGAACAUUAUUAUUUCAAGAUUAACAAUUUUAGUCCUUGAUAUUUGUUAAUGGCUCCAACACUUUCAAAAUAUUCUAUUUGUCAUUAAUGGUAAUGUAAGAAUUACAUUAACUAAUUUUGAAACUAUGGAAACUAAAGAUUAUAUGAAAACAAGUCUAACAUAGUAUUUUUAAAUCUGAUGAAAACUUGUCUGGAUGUAAUCUAUGAGAAAAUCUAUGAACCAAAUUAAUAAUAAAGAUGUUUAAAUAUUUAAUCAAUAUUUAAACCACUAAUAUAUUUGUUUUUGUUAAACUGUUGUAAGAAAUAAAAGUCAUGAACUGAAAAUGUCAAUACAAAAAAAAAAAAAAAAAAAAAAAAAAAAAAAAAAAAGAAACACUAACCAAUUGGCUGCCUGUCACAUGACUAGUAUUGUUACUUGGUGCAGUAACAAGUGCUAGCUCCCAUCCUGUUGCAUUUGGCCCAACAAGUGCACUCAAAGCAUCACUUGAUGAAGAUAAAUUACCAUUAUCUGCAUAAAAAAAAAAAGUGUUUAAAUAUAAAACUUAUUCAAUAAAUUUAGUUCCAUCAGGUAGAAUUAAUAUGAAAAUUACUUAUUUUACGUUUGUAUUUUACUAAAAUAUACUAUUAUGUUCUUGCAUUUUCUGAAAAUACAUUAAUUUUUCCUUAUAUUUCGUAUCUGUUUACUAUUUUGUCCUUCCAUUAAUUUUUUGUAUUCUUUUGUCAAUAUUUAUAAUACAACUUCAGAAAAAUUAACUAUUUUAUCUUUGUAUUUAGCCAAAUUAACUAGUUUUAUCUACAAUUUUUUGUAAUUUUUUAAUGGAAAAAAUUAAAAAAUUUGCCCUAAGGAAAAAAUAAAGAAACAGAUGCAAAAAAACAGAAAAUUAGUAUAUUUAAAAAAAUGCAAGGACAAACUAGUGUAUUUAGACAAAAUGCAAGAAAAAUAGUAAUUUUUUACCAUAAAAUUUAAGUAAUAUGAGAAAAGUUCCAAAAAUUUCCUAAGCUCUUAGUAGCUGGAUACUAAUUAACAUUGCAUACAGAGAAACAGUAGUUGAGAUAAAACUUCUUGAAUGAAUUAAAUAUAUAAGAACCGGUUUACCUGUUGGAACAAUUGCAAGAGCUAAUGCGUUGCUUUCCUCUAAUUGUAUAGCUUUUUGAUUUAUUUCAUGCAAACCCUACAACCAAAAACUUACAUGUGAAAAUAGAAUAUCAUAACAAACCUAACAGAAACAUUGAAAGAAGUGGAAAACUUGCAAGCAAAUCUCCGGUAUCAUCAUAAACAGAUAUCAACUGUGGAGAUUCCACCACCUCUUCUUCAAGUUGAACGUCUUCUGAUUUGUCCAUUGCUGUUUCAUUUUCAUCAAUUUUUUCAACCUCUUCUUCUAUAGGUUCUUAAGGUUCUUCUUUUGCCUUAAGUUCUGGUACUUCUCUCUCUUGAUGAUAUUCCUACCGUUCAACAAUUAUGUUUAUUACAAACUAAAACAUAGAGUAAUGGUAUUAUUCUUAUUACAGUAAUGGUAUUUAUACAGAGAUGAACCUAAAGUCAUGAAAACUAAAAGGGAAAGAAUACUAAUUAUACAAGAAAGUAAGGAAUCGUAACUAAUAUGGAAAAUCAACUACUAUAGAAAAGAAAUAAUAUAUACAACUAAUAUAAGGCAUGAUUUUAGGCUUUAAUAAUCCCUUUAAGCUGGAGUAUGUAAGUCAUAAAUACCCAGCUUGCAAUGUAGAAAAAGAAACUUGUCCUUGACGAGAGCCUUUGUCAAAAGAUUAAUUGGCUGAUUGGCAAAGAAAAUUGAUAAAGGAAGAAGAAUGCCAACUUGAAGUUUCUCUCAAAAACAUGAUAAUCAAUUUCAAGAUGCUUUAUCUGCAAAACAAGAUUAAUAGUAAUGUGAUGAUCAAGUUGAUUAUCACAAUAUAAAGGUGUAGGUUGCAUUAAAGAAAUCCCAAAAUCUUUUAACAAAUUAUGCAUCCAAACAACUCCUUUAUUGGUAGUUGCCAUAGCAUGGUAUACAGUUUCAAGAGAGGAAUAAGAGAAAAUAGUUUGCUUUUUUUCUUUUCCAAGAAAUGAAACUUGUGCCAACAAAUAUAUAAUAACCUGUGGUAGACCAUCUUAUCAUAGGACAACUUGCCCAAUCAGAGUCGUAAUAAGUAGUGCGCGAAAAUGAACUAGAUGAAGAUAGAAGAAUGCUUUGAUCAAGAGUUUUGUUCAGGUAUCGAAGAAAAUGAUGAGCAACAUCUAAAUGUGGCUUACGAGGUGCCUGCAUAAAUCGAUUGAGAAUAUUAAUAGGGAAAGCAAUAUCGGGUCUAGAGAUAGUAAGAUAAAUAAGUCGACCAACUAGUCAAUGAUAAAUAAAAGCAACUUCUAAUAAAAUCCCAUUAGAAUCUAAAAAUUUAAUAUUGAGUUCCAUAAGUGUGUCAGUUAUUCGAGCAUCAAUAACAGUAGCAUCAUUGAGCAAGCCAAGGACAUACUUGCGCUUACUCAAAUAGAUACUUUUAGUGAAGCGAGCAAUUUCAAUACCAAGGAAAUAUUUUAGUGAACCCAAAUCCGUGAUACGAAAAUGGCUAAGAAGAAAAAUUUUAAAUUAUUGAAUGAGUGCUUACCAUGUUAUCCAUAUAAAUUAGAGGAAAAAAAAAGUUAGGAAUACGCCCUAAAAUAAAUAAAGAGAUCAGCAUGUGAUUACCUGAGAUCAAGAAUGCAUGAGAAAAUGUGGAAAACCAAUUGCGAGGAGCUUGUUUUAGUCGAUAAAGUAACUUAUGAAGCUUGCAAGCUAGAGAAUACUCUCUUUUUUAUCACAUUUUUCAGGCAAGACAUAUAAACCUCUUCAUUUAGCUAUACAUGAAGAAAAGCAUUUUGAACAUCAAGUUAGUGUAAAGGCCAAUUUUUCACUGCAGUAAUAGCUAAAAGAACAUGCACUAUCAAUAAUUUUACUAUAGGAGCAAAAUUAUAAUGAUAAUCAACCCCUUCAACCUAGAUAAAAUCUUUGGUAACUAGAUGUCCCUCAUAUCUUUCAAUACUAUCAUCAUAUCGCCUUUUGAUUUUAAAAAUCCAUUUGCAACUAACUGGCUUCUUGUCAUGAGGAAGAGGAAUAAUAGACCAAGUCUUUGUGUCUUCUAAAGCAAAAAGUUUAACAUCAAUGGCUUGCCUCCACUCAGGAAACCUAAUGGCUUGGUAAAAUUUGUAGGUUCAAUAUCAAAAGACAAAGGGCUAAGAAAAUGCACAAAGGACAAGAAGUAAAAUGAUGAUAAGAAAGAAAAUCUUCAAGAGGAUAUUUCAUACCUGAAUGUAAAGACGAGUGACGAGAUUAAGCAUGAGAGCAAUGAUAAUUUUUAUACUUAGAAGGUAGGCAAAUUUCUCAUUGGAAGUAAAGCAGUGGUAGGUGCAUUAGUGGAGGAUCUUGAACUGAAUGAUAUACAAGGUCUGUUGAAUUUGGGGUUGGAGGAAUAGUAUUAGGAGAGGAUAAGGAGAGGAUGGAAGGGUCCAUACUACUAUCUUCUUCUAUUGGAAAAGAGAGUGGAAAUGAAUCUUCAGUUUGCUUCUUGUACAUGAUGAAAAUGUUUGUUCAUGAAAAUUUACAUCAUGACUAAUAGAAAUUUUUUGUGUGAAGUUAAAAUAUUUUAUAAUCCUUUUGACCAUAUGAAUAGCUAAUAAAAAUUCUAGGUGAAGCCCGUUUAUCAAAUUUAUAUGUGAUGUGAACAUUAGGUCUAAAGCAUAAACAACCAAAUGCAUGAAGAUGUUGAAAUGUUGGUGCCUUAUUAAACGGUAACUCAAAUGAUGCUUUAUAGUUGAGAGCUUUGGUAGGCAUUUGUUUAGAAGAUAUGCAACGGUAAGAACACAUCCCUCUAAGAUUUAAUAGGUAAACCAACUUGAAAACGAAGAGCCCGAGCUAAGUAUAACAAGUGCCUAUGUUUGUGCUUCACAACACCAUUUUAUUGUGGUGUGUGGGUGCAACUAUGCUUAUGAACAACACUAAGUGAAUUGAAGGAGGGGGCAAUAUUAUUAAAAAAUUCAGUACCAUUAUCACUUUGAACCCAUCCAAUUGUGGCAUUAAAUUGUGUUUUUAUCAUGGAAAAAGAAUUUUCAAUGUAAUGAUAAACUUGAGACUUAGAUUGAAGUAAGAAAAUCCAAACACCAUGAGAAAAAUUAUCCAUGAUAGUUAAAAAGAAAUUUGCACCAUUCAAAGAGGGGGUUGAAUAUGGUCCCUAAACAUCAACAUGAAGAGUUUAAAAUAGGAAUUCGUUGAAAUAAAACUAAUAGGAAAUCAUACACAUCAACAUGAAGAGUUUAAAAUAGGAAUUCGUUGAAAUAAAACUAAUAGGAAAUGAUACACCAGUUUGUUCUGCCAAAGGUCAAAUAAGAUAUGGAUGUUUAUUGGAAAAAUAAUAUUAUUGAUAUGAGGUAAUAAUUUUAACAUGUUGACCAGGAUGUCUAAGACGCAAAUGUAAAAUAUCCAUAAUUGAGGUUUUUACAGAAAGACCACCGUGCUCCUUUGCCAAACCUAUAAACUUCUUCAUCGCCAGGUCCUGAAACACACAAAAAUGAAGAAAAACAUAAACUGAACAAUUAAGUGUUUGAUGAUUUUGCUAAUGGAGAAGGAAGGAACAUAAAUCACAUUUUUUAUAAGCAUGUAAGAGUUGAGUUGACAAGAAUCUAUGUUAAGUAGAACUUGGUUUCCAUUAGGCAAUUUAAUGGGAGGACUAUGAUGAUCACAAACAUCAAUUAAGAAUUUUAUAUUUUGUAUAAUAUGAUUAGUGCAACCUGAAUCAACAAUUCAAGGAUCAUUUGGACAAAAGGAAAAACAUGAAAGUUUACCUGCAAAAUUGACAAGUGGACUAGAGGGAUUUAUAGAAGGUGGUUGUAUUAAGGCUAAGACUUAUUGAAUUUUUUUUUUUUUAGAGUGAAUGGUAAGCAUUUUAUGCAUCCGAGAUAGAUGUGCCUUGAUCUACUAUAGCUGCAAGAGGUUUAUGAGUUUUAUAACUAAAAGAUGCAUCAGUCUUAGUAAAUUCACCGUGUUCUUGCACAUUUUGGUUUUAUUUUGAAAAUGAUCUUAUAGGCUGAAAAUUUGGAUCAUAUUUACAUUUUCAGGCUUCAUACAACAACGAGACCCAAAAUGACCCUACUUUCCGCAAUAGUUAUAGUGAUAAGGAGGCCCAUUUCCUUUUGAUUGAUUCCUUUGGGUUGCACUAAAAAUAAGAACCAUUAGUUGAGGCUACCAUGGCUGAUUUGUCUUGAUAACUCACUGUAUAUAUUAAUCAUUUUGAUGGAUCGUUGCUGUUCUUCUUGCAAGAUCAAUGAAUAAGCUUUAGAUAUUGAUGGCGGCAAAUGAUUCAUCAUAAGGAGUUGACUUCUCAAAUGAAUAUAGGACUCCCCCAUCAAAAAUUAAAUGACACGAUGAAGUUCCUGAAUACUAUUGAGAAUGGCACUACAUGAACAAGCUUGACAAUCAUUAUAAAUCUCUAGUUCAUCCCACAAUCCUUUUAACAUUGUAUAGUAGUUGGCCACUGAAUUAUUCUACUGUAUGUGAUAUAUGGGACACUGGAUUUCAAAAACUCUUAUAGUAUUUUGUUGAGAGAAGCGAACAUGAAGAUCUGUCCAUACAUCAUAGGCUUUCUUUAUAGAAAUUACACUAUUAGUGAUUUCUUGAGAUACAAAAUUGAGCAACCAAGAUAAAAUCAUUUUGUUACAAUGACUUCAAAGAGCGUAUGAAGAUGAUAUUAGAUGAGGCUACUUGAUAUUGCUAUCAAUGAAUUCUUUUUUUUUUUUUUUUUUUUUUGCUUCAAAAUCCAUGGUGAUAGCAUGAUAUUCUAUAUAGGAUAAUUGUCUCCCGUUAGGAAUUGAGAGAUUAAUAUGGUUCUCGGACUGUCAAAAUGAUGCUCAAACAAACAGUUGUGCUAGAUAGAAACAUCGCAGAAUGUAUACGAUUCAUAUAUUUUACAAGGCAAUACUUUGAAGUAGUAUUCGAAGUUCAAAUUUCCAACAUGGGCUCUAUGAUAUAGUUUUUCAACUAAAAGAAGGAAAGAAUAAUUUAUUUACUAAGUGAAAAAGAAUGAGCAUACCAAACCUUGAAUAAAAGAAUUAUUCCCCUAUUUCAAAGAGUUAAGCAAUAUGUUAAAACCAGGAAAUUAAAAAGAAAAUUAAUUAUCUUCUAAAGGAGCAUAUGAUUUCCUUGUUGUGAUACUGAACUGUGUGGAAGACUUGAAAAUGGAUCCCCAAAAGGAUUUAAAGGACUCAUUUGAUGCGUUUGUGAUUGAGGAUGUUGAGGUUGAUACAGUUGUUGCUGUUGAUGUUGUAGCAUCAUCUGUUGUUGCUGUUGUAACAUCAUUUGUUGUUGUUGUUGUUGAGUCAUUGCCAUUUGCACAUUUGGUGGAGGUGGUACAUUACUUGACAUUGCAAAUGGGUCAUGUUGUUCAAAUGGAUUAUUUUGCAUAGUCAUCAUCCCUCCAUAUCCAUAACCUGCAUUUUGUAAUUCUAGUUGUCUCCUCG
rnacentral:lncRNA from 1 species